UAGCCCAUGCCGUAAACGUUGGGCGCUAGGUGUGGGGCUCUUUCCACGAGUUCCGUGCCGCAGCAAACGCAUUAAGCGCCCCGCCUGGGGAGUACGGCCGCAAGGCUAGAACCCAAAGGAAUUGACGGGGGCCCGCACAAGCGGCGGAGCAUACGGAUUAAUUCGAUGCAACGCGAAGAACCUUACCAAGGCUUGACAUGGGGCGAAAACUGUUAGAGAUAGCAGGUCCGCAAGGGCGCCUCAC
rnacentral:rRNA from 1 species